rnacentral:rRNA from 1 species
UGGGGAAUUUUGGACAAUGGGCGAAAGCCUGAUCCAGCAAUGCCGCGUGUGUGAAGAAGGCCUUCGGGUUGUAAAGCACUUUUGUCCGGAAAGAAAUCCUUGGCUCUAAUACAGUCGGGGGAUGACGGUACCGGAAGAAUAAGCACCGGCUAACUACGUGCCAGCAGCCGCGGUAAUACGUAGGGUGCAAGCGUUAAUCGGAAUUACUGGGCGUAAAGCGUGCGCAGGCGGUUUGCUAAGACCGAUGUGAAAUCCCCGGGCUCAACCUGGGAACUGCAUUGGUGACUGGCAGGCUAGAGUAUGGCAGAGGGGGUAGAAUUCCACGUGUAGCAGUGAAAUGCGUAGAGAUGUAGAGGAAUACCGAUGGCGAAGGCAGCCCCUGGGCCAAUACUGACGCUCAUGCACGAAAGCGUGGGGAGCAAACAGGAUUAGAUACCCUGGUAGUCCACGCCCUAAACGAUGUCAACUAGUUGUUGGGGAUUCAUUUCCUUAGUAACGUAGCUAACGCGUGAAGUUGACCGCCUGGGGAGUACGGUCGCAAGAUUAAAACUCAAAGGAAUUGAC